CCCUUAGAUGUUCUGGGCCGCACGCGCGCUACACUGAUGAAUGCAACGAGCUCUACCCUUGACCGAAAGGCCCGGGUAAACUUGUGAAACUUCAUCGUGAUGGGGAUAGAUUAUUGCAAUUAUUAAUCUUCAGCGAGGAAUUCCUAGUAAGCGCGAGUCAUCAGCUCGCGUUGAUUACGUCCCUGCCCUUUGUACACACCGCCCGUCGCUCCUACCGAUUGAAUGGUCCGGUGAAAUCUUCGGAUUGCUGACCAAGAUCCAGCAAUGGAGCUUGGUUGCGAGAAGUUGAUUAAACCUUAUUAUUUAGAGGAAGGAGAAGUCGUAACA
rnacentral:rRNA from 1 species